UUUUUUUGUUUUCUAACUAUUACUGUAUUUAUUCUCAAAGUUCUCCACGAACCAAAAUCAAAAAUGGGCGCAGAAAAGGUAUCCAUGAACAUUGUUGUGGUCGGACAAGUGCAAUCCGCCAAAUCGGCCAAAACCGUCACCAAGGCCCAACCCCAAGUUUCUCAAUACAAUAUGAGCUGUUAAUUCAACUCGUAUUUCUCCAUCUCAAAAAUGCCAUAGACCAACCAGAUAUCAUGUGCAAUAUGUAUAAACUUAAUUUGUUGUACUUAAAAUAAAUCAAUAAACUGGCUUUCCGUUA